UACGGAGGUGGCGAGCGUUGCUCGGAUUUACUGGGUGUAAAGGGCACGUAGGCGGUCCUGUAAGCCCUGCCUUAAAGGCUCUGGCUCAACCAGAGUAGGCGGUAGGGGACUGCAGGACUUGAGGAUGGGAGAGGCAAGCGGAAUUCCCGGUGUAAGGGUGAAAUCUGUAGAGAUCGGGAGGAACACCAGUGGCGAAGGCGGCUUGCUGGACCAUUUCUGACGCUGAGGUGCGAAAGCUAGGGGAGCAAACAGGAUUAGAUACCCCGGUAGU
rnacentral:rRNA from 1 species